GACGAACGCUGGCGGCGUGCUUAACACAUGCCAGUCGAACGGAAAGGCCCUGCUUUUGUGGGGUGCUCGAGUGGCGAACGGGUGAGUAACACGUGAGUAACCUGCCCUUGACUUUGGGAUAACUUCAGGAAACUGGGGCUAAUACCGGAUAGGAGCUCCUGCUGCAUGGUGGGGGUUGGAAAGUUUCGGCGGUUGGGGAUGGACUCGCGGCUUAUCAGCUUGUUGGUGGGGUAGUGGCUUACCAAGGCUUUGACGGGUAGCCGGCCUGAGAGGGUGACCGGCCACAUUGGGACUGAGAUACGGCCCAGACUCCUACGGGAGGCAGCAGUGGGGAAUAUUGCACAAUGGGCGGAAGCCUGAUGCAGCAACGCCGCGUGCGGGAUGACGGCCUUCGGGUUGUAAACCGCUUUCGCCUGUGACGAAGCGUGAGUGACGGUAAUAGGUAAAGAAGCACCGGCUAACUACGUG
rnacentral:rRNA from 1 species